CUUAGCUCCAAACUCAAGUAACAGGCUAAAAAAUAUUAGAAAAAUCUGGCAUCAAUUUAAAAAGAAAC
rfam:Cavia porcellus supercont2_6 genomic scaffold, whole genome shotgun sequence.